AAAAAAAUCCAGGAAGACGAAGAUGAAGAUGUAGAUGAAGAUGAAGGUUAAUCACAUGCCCAAACAUCUACACAUUCUACAAGUUCAUACUGUAGUACUGAACAGUACGGAGGUCGUAAAGGGACAUGGAUAUUUAUUGUUUUUAGGAAAAGGCAUAUUCUUUUUUUUUAUAUCACGUGCGGUCGUAAAACCUUCGUGUUCUCGCGAGAUACUGUACUUUCGCGUUAAACGGCCGUGUGCGCACGAGAAAUUAUACGGUGCUCGACUCAAGAAAUAUUGAGAUGAAAUGGAUGCACCGGCGGUUGAGCUAAACAUUUUCGAAAUAUACCUGGAAAUAUCAUCAAGCAGCUAAAGGUGACAAGGUAAAUGAGCCACCACUUAAUUGUUUGCAUGCAUUGAAUGACAUCUUUACUUAAUCAAUCUGUUGCGCCAGCUACUUUGCUAGCUUGUUGUGGUUUGUUUAUUCUGUAGUUAACAUUUUUGACAUUUGCCUUUGCAGAUCGACAUCAGUGUCAUAAAUUGUAUGACUGAUGAGGAGUUAGGCCAGUGUUUACUUAGAUAUAGGGAGCGACUUGCAUUCAGAGCAUUUUGCCGUCAAAGGACAUUGACAAAUGAACCAUCUGAAGGAGCCCGAGCUGCAAGUUGCGAGGACAACGGAACUUUCAAGAUAAGUGAAUGGAGCAGGCAUUCAACUCCCGACCCACACACACCUUGUGAAGAUGUUUAUAAUCACACUUACCAGUCCACAAGCAGCAUUAAACACCAACUGAUGGGCCUAUGAUUUCCCACAUUGAUGUCCCAGGAUUACCAGACCAUCCUGAAAAUUCAUCAGACCCUCAUCUGAAAAAUGUGUCAGAAAAAGAAGUCCAGCAUGUGACACACAGAUAUGGGAGCAAUACGGGCAAUCUCCCUCCAGACACAGGUGAAGAGAGGUUGAUGUUAAAAGUGGAGACAUGCCAGCUGAUGGACAGAUGUGGUAUGGAAGAGCGACCCGGCAGGGAGCAGCACCUCAGUCCUGCCGCCAUGAGCAGCAAUUUCUACUUAAUGAGAACAGGCAGAGGAAAUCCUGAAGGAAAGACAGAAACCAAACAGCAUGAGUUUGCUGUUUUCAGACUACAAAUGGCCCAAAUUUAGUUUUGUUUGUUGUAUUAUGAGCUGGACAUACAACAUUUUGACAUUUUGAGCAAAUACACAUCAGAAACAUGAACCAGAAGUGACAGGUGACCAGGUUAUGUGCUCUCUGAGGGAAUGUUGCUAAAAAAGCUUUGCCUCAGGGUUUCCUUGUAGCUCACUUAGAUACAGUGCAGUUCAUGUUAUACAAGCACAAUAUGUUGACGUGCAACACUGGUUUACUGCGCUCGGACUCAAAAGCAGAUCCAGAGGCAGACAGGAAAGGUGAAAAAGUCUCGGCUGGAAAAAAAUCUAGCAAACCUUCAGGCAGGACAGGAUAACAAGUUAAAAAGAGCACAAAACAGAGAGAGAUGUAAUUUAAGGUAGUACAGUGAAGUCAACAGCCACACAAACAGGGAUGAGAUUGCUGCAGUACAGCAGCGAAGCGCCUACAGGUCACAAUCAAAAAUCUCUUUUGCAGAUGAGGACCAGGUCAAGUAAGGAGCAAAAAACAUGCUGAGAGCCACUAAAGAAAAUGAGACUAAGUGUGACUUGUGCUUCCAGUUCUGUGCUGCAGCCGGACAAAAGGAUAAUGCAGCAGCUCCCACAAUGUAGGUGAAAAGAAACCGAAGAAGUACAGUAGCAGCAAAAAAAAACUUGGCAAUAAAAAGCAAGAAACAGGAAAAGAUACGGAAUCA
ensembl:lncRNA